rnacentral:rRNA from 1 species
UACGUAGGGGGCAAGCGUUGUCCGGAUUUAUUGGGCGUAAAGAGCGUGUAGGCGGCCAGAUAGGUCAGCUGUGAAAACUCGAGGCUCAACCUCGAGACGUCGGUUGAAACCGUCUGGCUAGAGUCCGGAAGAGGAGAGUGGAAUUCCCGGUGUAGCGGUGAAAUGCGCAGAUAUCGGGAAGAACACCCGUGGCGAAGGCGGCUCUCUGGGACGGUACUGACGCUGAGACGCGAAAGCGUGGGGAGCGAACAGG